UUGUGCCGAUCAUUGAUGCCACUGGACCAAGCGAGAUCCACUUGAUCGCCGCCGUGAAGGGGCAAUUAGGGCUUCAAGGGUCUCGGAUUGGAGACGUUGGGUAUUAGUGAGUUGUGCUUGGGCUGUCGAGCAGAGAUCAAAGGGGUUGAUGCUUGAUCAAUAAUCUCCCUGCUUGAUUCUUUCUUGAUCCGAAUUGUGGAGUGGAAUCCAACACCUUGCUGUUCUGUGGACUUUUUGGUUCGGCAGCCACCCAUCCAUCAGUGUUCCCUUGAUCCAGAAUCAACUCGGCAGCAACCCAUCCAUCAGUAUUCCCUUGAUCCAGAAUCAACAGCAGUUGGAUUGAGGACGCUGAUUCGAGACGGGCGUCUCGACUUCAGAUUUGGAUUGUACCUUCUAUUUGAGGUUGAGGCCAUCGGGAGAUAUUCCAGUCGCUAGCCCCUUUAUCGCGAGGAUUUGCCUGUUGUCGGGAUCUGUUUUGUUUUUGCAUCAUAUAUACUCGUGAUGUGGAUUUUGUAUUGUGGACUUUAUGAUGCACAUUGGGUUUACUACUUUUGUUUUCCGCUGCAAAUAUUUCAUUACUUCGUGGAUUUCGUUUCUUCGUUGUAGUGGAGUAGGAUGUGU